CACCGAUUGUCAACCGCCUGCUUCAUCUCGCGCUUCUUUAUUUCUAGGUUGUACCUAGAAAACAAAUAAACCAAUACUUGUGGUGGGGAUUUGAAGCAAUUUCUCUGGCCUUGAAGCAUCUUAAGGAAAAAGGUUUGAGAGAGAACUUUGGAGCUUCAGGUUGCUAACUCUUCACAGGUAAUACUCAUUUGGUAAAAGAAACAGUAAGUUAAACUAUCUAUUUUUAUGUAAACAGCUUGCAUUUUAGUUGAUUGAACUCAACUUAAAUGGUAGUUUAGUUGACUAAUAGACUGGCAAGUGAUAUCAAAAAAUAUUUUUCAUUUUUAAUGAUGUGACAAAUAUAAUUAAAACUUGCGGUGAUCAUGUGACAUAUAUAAGGCUGCUGAUGUAACUAUGGAAGAGAUACAAUGGAAGCUGAGAAAAUAGAAGAAGAUGCAUGUUUUGUUAUGUAAGUUGAGAGAUAUGCUCAUUUCUAUAGAUCGUCAAGGCCACCCCUGUAACCCAUCUCCUCUCUUUGUAUGUGCGUGCGCAUUUAUGCGAGAUUCCUGACAAUCUUAGGAUAUUGUACUUUAAAUGCAGGAAGCUUUUCUGAGGAACUCCCUAAGGAAUAAAGUGCUCUUCUGAUAAUUCACGUGAAAGAUUUCAAAUUGAUUUUUGUUUGAUCUAUUUUGAGAAUUUUGUGUUGAUUAGCCUAUUUUUGAUGAUUUCCCAUAUAAUUUGUUGUUCUUAGGGUUGGACUUUUAAGUUUUGAAGCUAUUCAUUUCAAGUUCGAGAUCACCAUUUCAGAUUUCUAAGCUCAAGUAUUCUGCACAUUUUGUGUGAAGUAUGGUUGGAUUAAGAAUUAGUAAGUCGGUUCUAAGUUUUGCUAUAUGGACUGAUUUUCGACUGUGGAGUAUAUGAAUUUGUCUUUCCUCCUUUGAUAGGUUUAGGAACCUGUCUUUCCUGUUAGGAUUUUGGUUCACAGUAUAUGAAUUUGUCUACAACAUAUAAUCAGCCAAAAAAAGUUACCAUAAUUUUUUUUGUUUAAUUUUCCUUGCAAAUUAUUGUGCCCCUCUUCUUGGGUCCUAAAAAUGCUUUCAUUGGACAUGGGAUUAAUUUGUUCUAUUUGUGGCUGAUUUCCAGGUCUAUAUAUUUGAUGUGGGGCUUUCAUCUUUGAUAUGGGCUAAAAUUCUCUUGAUAUGACUUGUGUGAAUUUUUUUUUCCCCUAUUCUACAUAGUGUUUUAUUGUUAUUUAUGAGCUGCUUACCCGAAAUUUUGUUGCUCUAUAUCAUUCUCCUCAGGUUUAACAUAUAUUUUUAGGAUUGAUUAAUUUCUGCAAAUCAGUUCUUACACAACUUUCAUCUCAUUAUUGUAUGAUACUCCAUUUAGAUCUAAGUGCAUAUCAGUUUUUAGGCAAGUGUGUUUACAUUUUUCAGUUUUCACUAUACCAAUAGCAGCCCAGCUAACAAACCAAAGCCAAGAACAAAACGUGAACAAAGAAUUAAACCCAUGGCAACACGGGGAUUACUGCCUAGUAAUCCUUUGUAAAAGGAGAGCAGCAGAGGAUAUCAGAUAAUUGCUAAACGAGUAAUUGGAGAAAGUGGCCUAUGGAAUAAUGAGGGUGCUUUGACUUCUUUUAGAGAAAAUGGAGGGGUCAACAGCAGAUGUUGGUAGGGAGCUGACAAAUAUUUUCAGGUGAUCACAAAAGCAUGUUUCUUUACUCUUUAGGCAUGCUUGGUAUAUGAGAGGUUAUGCAAAUGGUUCUUUGGGGGACUACAAAGAUGUCGUCAGUGACUUGAACAUGGCUGAGGAUGUAGAGGUCACAUUUGGAGGAAAUAGCAGUAAAACAGUUCCACAUAGCCAACUUGGCGUUGUUGCCAUUUGUGGUUUGUGAUAUGAACUUUCCCAUCAGUGUGUUUUUUUUUUCAAGCAAAGGGAGAUGUUACUUGGUCAAUUCGCUAGUAUUUUCUCUUCAGAUUGUGAAAUUCCUCAAGAUUUCUUGGUCCAAGAGGAAGAACCUUGCCAUGAAAAUAUAGAUAUUGCUUUAGCAUCAAAGCAAAUUGGCAACCAGUACUAUCUCAGGAAGAUCACACCAAAGCUCUGUGCUGUUAAUCCCAGGUAUGAUAAAGUCAUUCUCAACACUCACUUAGGACAAUGGUGUAUUUCUUACAAAGUGUGACAUGAUUUUCACGCUUUCUUCACAUCAUAAUAAUAGCCACUGUGCCUUGCUCCAAUAAAUGUUGAUGACAUGAGCAGACAUCUGGUUACAAGUGUUUACAUAAACUGAUUUCUUUGUUUCAGGUGAGUUUUGUACAUAAUCUUUUUUUCCACAAAAACUAUUUUUCUUUUUGAAAGUGUGAUAAGAGAUGUUCAAAACAUGGAUUUUUGUUGGUCA